rnacentral:rRNA from 1 species
AGUGAACGCUGGCGGCAGGCCUAACACAUGCAAGUCGAGCGGCAGCGCGUCCGACCACCCUCGGGUGGUCGGAUGGCGGCGAGCGGCGGACGGGUGAGGAAUGCAUCGGAAUCUGCCUCGUUGUGGGGGAUAACGUAGGGAAACUUACGCUAAUACCGCAUACGACCUACGGGUGAAAGUGGGGGACCUUCGGGCCUCACGCGAUGAGAUGAGCCGAUGCCGGAUUAGCUAGUUGGCGGGGUAAAGGCCCACCAAGGCGACGAUCCGUAGCUGGUCUGAGAGGAUGAUCAGCCACACUGGAACUGAGACACGGUCCAGACUCCUACGGGAGGCAGCAGUGGGGAAUAUUGGACAAUGGGGGCAACCCUGAUCCAGCCAUGCCGCGUGUGUGAAGAAGGCCUUGGGUUGUUAAGCACUUUUAGUUGGGGUAAGGAAACCGGACCGGGUUAAGUACCCGU